GCCAUAUUAGGUGUUCAGUGUGUACCUGUGGCACAUGAGCUGUCAUGGCAUCCAGGGAGUUCUCUUGAGGGAGGAUGUAUGAGGACUGGCAGGGUUGGGCAAACAGUCCUUUGCAACUUAGAGGACAAGGCAUGACUUUAACAAAUGGAACGGAGCCAGCCUGUUAGGCACACUUCACUGCCCAUCCUGAGGGCAGCCAAGGCCAAGGCCCUCAGGCAGAGGAGUGACAUGCUCAGGUUUGUGUUCUAGAGUGACCACUCUGGCCGCAGUGUGGAGGAGGAGCUGGAGCUGGGAGAGGCUGAAGGCAGGGAGUCCAGUUAGGAGGCUGGUGCCUAGACCAGGUGAGCUGAGAGAAGGUCCUGGCCCAGGCUGGUGGCUGCUGGGGCUCGUCCCAAGGAGGGGCUCAUCCACAAUGGUCAUAGAAACUGGGGAGCAAAGCUGUUGCUUAGGCUUCUGGCUUAGGUAGCCUGUGAUGCCUCAUAGACCAGUGACUCCCACAGGAGGAGGAGGGAGAGCCGACCAGUGGUGGCAGGUGGUGCCCAGAGGCAGGAGGAAGGCACUAGUCUUGAAUCUGGCUGUAACCGUGAACACAGCAACCAGAGUGCCUUGGUAGAAAAGGAAGAGCCCAGCCUUUCUGUCAGGGUCCCUGUCAGACUCCCCUCACCCCAUUCCCAUCAUGCCUCCAUCUCUGCCCCUCACCCCAGGCAUUCAUGGCUUGAGACUGAGGGGCUGCAGUGGGCCCCACACACACACCUUGACCUGCCUUUCAGUGGGCACUGUGCAGCUUCCUAGUGCUGGUGCAUCUGACUAGACCUCUUUAUGUUUCUCCCCCUGCUGCAGAUGGCGGUGGGCCCCCCUGACUGCCCUGUGGGUGGACCGCUGGCUUUCCCUGCCAGGGGUUCUGGUGCCAGUGUUGGGGCAGCUCUGACCCCCCUGCCUCCUCCCAAGAUGCCUCCACAUACAAUCCUGAGCACCGUCCCUCAGCAGAUGUUCAGCGAUGCCGGCAGCGGAGAUGAUGCCCUAGACGGAGAUGAUGACCUGGUGAUCGACAUCCCGGAGUAGCCACUCAGUGCUACCUGCCAGGCACCCCGCCCAGUGCUCCUCCUGAGCCAGCACACUGAGCCCACUUCCUCAAGAGAUGUUUAUUGAUGCCCAGUUGCCAUGCUUCGGCCACUGACACAAUCAGAAAAGGCGUAAACAUGCACAAAUGUCCCCGAGGAAGGUGGCAGGGGCCCUGCCCUUACACCCACCCCCAUCCUGGGAACAAUUAUUUAAUGAGUGGCCAAAAGGGUCUGCUACAUCUUAGGAAGGUAGAGAC
rnacentral:lncRNA from 1 species